UACGUAGGGUGCGAGCGUUAAUCGGAAUUACUGGGCGUAAAGCGUGCGCAGGCGGUUCGUUGUGUCGGCGGUGAAAGCCCCGGGCUCAACCUGGGAAUGGCCGUUGAAACUGGCGAACUGGAGUGUGGCAGAGGGGGGUGGAAUUCCUGGUGUAGCGGUGAAAUGCGCAGAUAUCAGGAGGAACACCGGUGGCGAAGGCGGUUCUCUGGGCAUUACCUGACGCUGAGGAGCGAAAGCGUGGGGAGCAAACAGG
rnacentral:rRNA from 1 species